UGAAUACGAGAUGCUACGGCGUCGAAGCAGUCUAUGUCAUACUUCCAAGAAAAGCUCGCACUGUCAUAAACAAAUAAUGCCUGUACCAUAACCGACACAGGUGGGUAGGUAGAGUAUACUAAGGGGCGCGAGAUAACUCUCUCUAAGGAACUCGGCAAAAUGACUCCGUAACUUCGGGAGAAGGAGUGCCUUAUUUAUAAGGUUGCAAUAACAAGAUCCAAGCAACUGUUUACCAAAAACACAGGUCUCCGCUAAGUCGUAAGACGAUGUAUGGGGGCUGACGCCUGCCCAGUGCCAGAAGGUUAAAGAAGUUGGUUAGCAUUCGCGAAGCUGAUAACUGAAGCCCUGGUGAACGGCGGCCGUAACGAUAGCGGUCCUAAGGUAGCGAAAUUCCUUGUCGGGUAAGUUCCGACCCGCACGGAAGGCGUAAUGAUUUGGAUACUGUCUCGGAGAGGGGCUCGGUGAAAUAGACUUGUCUGUGAAGAUGCGGACCACCUGCACCAGGACAGAAAGACCCUAUGAAGCUUUACUGUAACUUGAGAUUGAAAUUGGACUUUACUUGCGCAGUAUAGGUGGGAGGCGUUGAUAAUAUUCUUGCGGGAUUAUUUGAGCCAUCAGUGAGAUACCACUCUUGUAAUGUUAGAUUUCUAACUUUGUAUCAUUAUCUGGUCAAAGGACAGUUUCAGGCGGGCAGUUUGACUGGGGCGGUCGCCUCCUAAACGGUAACGGAGGCGCACAAAGGUUUCCUCUGAACGGGUAGAAAUCGUAUCUAGAGUGUAAAGGCAUAAGGAAGCUUGACUGUGAGACCUACAAGUCGAGCAGGGACGAAAGUCGGUCUUAGUGAUCUGACGGUGCUGAGUGGAAAGGCCGUCACUCAACGGAUAAAAGUUACUCUAAGGAUAACAGGCUGAUCUCCCCCAAGAGUUCACAUCGACGGGGAGGUUUGGCACCUCGAUGUCGGCUCAUCGCAUCCUGGGGCGGUAGUACGUCCCAAGGGUUGGGCUGUUCGCCCAUGAAAGCGGUACGCGAGCUGGGUUCAGAACGUCGUGAGACAGUUCGGUCCAUAUCCGGUGUAGGCGUUAGAAUAUUGAGAGGAGCCUUCUUUAGUACGAGAGGACCGAGAAGGACAUACCUCUGGUGUACCAGUUAUCGUGCCAACGGUAAACGCUGGGUAGCUAUGUAUGGAGUGGAUAACCGCUGAAAGCAUCUAAGUGGGAAGCCCACCUCAAGAUAAGUAUUCUC
rnacentral:rRNA from 1 species